CAUGGAAUAAUGAAAUGAUGGCUUGGGUCCUUAUUUCGUUGGUUUAUACGACCUUUGCAAUGAUAAAUAGGAACGGUUGGGGGGAUUUGUAUUUGGCCGCUAGAGGUGAAAUUCUUGGAUUGA
rnacentral:rRNA from 1 species